rnacentral:misc_RNA from 1 species
UUUUGCUCCAAUGAGUCGAUAUGCUAGUGCUGGUGGAGGACCUCUUAAUGCUUCGCGGGAAUUUAAAGAAAUGGUUAAAGCCUUGCAUGCUGCUGGGAUAGAGGUCAUUUUGGAUGUUGUGUACAACCAUACUAAUGAGGCCAAUGAUGUAAAUCCUUAUACCACUUCAUUUCGUGGCAUUGAUAAUAAGGUUUAUUACAUGUUG